rnacentral:rRNA from 1 species
UACGAAGGGUGCAAGCGUUAAUCGGAAUUACUGGGCGCAAAGGGUGCGUAGGCGGUUGUUUAAGUCUGUCGUGAAAUCCCCGGGCUCAACCUGGGAAUGGCGAUGGAUACUGGGCAGCUAGAGUGUGUCAGAGGAUGGUGGAAUUCCCGGUGUAGCGGUGAAAUGCGUAGAGAUCGGGAGGAACAUCAGUGGCGAAGGCGGCCAUCUGGGACAACACUGACGCUGAAGCACGAAAGCGUGGAGAGCAAACAGG